UCUUCAAUUUAGCAGCAUUUUCAACAUUUUCUGUAAGUACUUCUUGACUACUUAUGCCUCAUCUCUGUUCUUUUAAAACACCUAAUUUAUAUACACCAAAUU